AUUGAACGCUGGCGGCAUGCCUAACACAUGCAAGUCGAGCGGAGCGGCGGACGGGUGAGUAAUGCCUAGGAAUGUGCCUGGUAGUGGGGGAUAACUACAGGAAACGGUAGCUAAUACCGCAUACUAUUGGAUGGGCCUAGUUCGGAUUAGCUAGUUGGGGGGGUAACGGCCUACCAAGGCGACGAUCCGUAACUGGUCUGAGAGGAUGAUCAGUCACACUGGAACGGAGACACGGCCCAGACUCCUACGGGAGGCAGCAGUGGGGAAUAUUGGACAAUGGGCGAAAGCCUGAUCCAGCCAUGCCGCGUGUGUGAAGAAGGUCUUCGGAUUGUAAAGCACUUUAAGUUGGGAGGCGUUACCAACAGAAUAAGCACCGGCUAACUUCGUGCCAGCCGCCGCGGUAAUAC
rnacentral:rRNA from 1 species